AUCUCUGCAAAAGAAUAGAGGGCGUAGAAAGUGUUAAAAUGGUUUUACUAUUCUGAAUAGACACAGUUUCUUUCCCUAUAAGUCCAUAUUGAUGUAUGUGGUUAUCCAUGUCUGGGAAACAGUUAAAAAAAUUUCUGCUUUUUCUUGGUAAAUGUUUUGGUAGAGGAUGUGUGGGCAGAACUUGCUUAGAUUAUUAUUUUAAAAAGAAGCAUUUUCCUGGCUCCUAUGCUCUAUGUAACACUUCAUAUAAUCACAGAAUCUUAGAAUGAUUUGAGUUGAAAGAGAUUUUAAAGAUCUUCCAGUUCCAACCCAGCUGGUAUGGGUAGGGUUGGUAUUGACUAGAUCAAGUUGUCAACAGUCACGUCCAGCCUGGCUUUGAAUGUCUCCAGGGAUGGGGCGUUCAACAACUCUGAGCAACCUGUUUCAGUUCCUCACCAACCUCUGAGUAAAAAGCAUAUUGUCCUAUCAUUGAAUCAUCACAGAAUGGUUUGGGUUGGAGGGGACAUUUAUGAUCACCUAGUUCUUACAUCUAACAAACAUAAAUAUCCCUCUUUUAGAUUUGAAAAUAUUCACCCGUGCCCUAUGGCUAUCAGAACAUGCAAAGAGAAUUUACUUUAAAAAAAAAAUAAAAUCCAGAAUUACUUUUUAUGUACUGAAAUACUGCAGAGAGGCCUUCCUGGUACCUUCUCUUCUUCAGACCAAACAAACUCUGCUCCCUCAGCCCUUCUUCAUAGCAGAGGUAUUCCAAUCUUCUAAUCAUCUUCGUGGUGAUCAUUAUAUGGAAUCAUUAUAUCCAGUUUCUCAAAGGUGUGUCCAAGAUCACACAACCAGCAUCCCUGAGCAUGAUACCAGCUUUGCAUCCAGUAAUUCACUUGAUCCAUUUAUCUUCUCCUCGAGCUGGGAGAACAGAGGAUAACACUACCUAUGCUCUCAAUCCUUUCAGCAUUUUUCUGAGGGACAUAAAGUCUCAUUCUUUUGCUAUUUUGGAUUCUUCUCAUCACAGCCUCAUUUGACCCUACUUGAAAAAAAUAGGAGUGAGUUGUAGUUCUCUGGCUUUACCAGGUACCAUAGCCUCUUUGUGAUAUUGUGAAUCCAGGCCUUCAGCAGACAGCAAAAAUGGAGAGUGUCUGGACAGGGAUGCUUCAGUGUCUCUUAGGAAUCUCCAAUUACUAACACCCACUGCACUUUUUUGGUGGCACUGAUUCUAAUAGAGGUAGUUGAUUGGACCAGCUUUAUGCAGUUGCCCUUUCCUGGGUCUUGAUCAUUACUUAUGUAAUGUACUUUUCCUUUUUCAGCCUGAGUCUUGUACCUGUUGUGUAGAGGCACAUCAGGGGCAAGAGGGAAACAUCUCCUUGUCCAGUCUCCCUUGUCUUGUGUGUCAGCGCAGUUCACCACCUCAGAUUCCUGGUUACUACACUGCCUGGUGAUUUCUUCAUGCAACCUGCUCUAAAGAGUUCAUCCAGGUGGACACAUUUACACCCACGACACCCGCCUCUGCCCUCAAGCUCUGGGGAGAUGUCCAGAAUCUGCAGUUCUUUGAAAAUGAAGGUCUGGGCAGCUCUUUCAGCCCUUUGGAGGCCUGUUUAGAUAUGUAGGUCUGCAUGGGAAGGUUGUGGCCCCUCCAUUUGGACUUCAGCUGAUUGCCUCAGCAAGUGACUGUUAAUGGUGGUUAUGCUGUGUUUAAAUUUACUGUUUCUGUUCCUGAUCUUGCCCAUGCCUCGUCAGCCACUUUCACAAAGUCUGGUGGCUCUCUCCACUUCCCCAGAGUCUCUUCAAUUGCAGGAACAAUCCCACAUGCCUUGAUCCUCUGGUCCACUGCAGAACAUGCCUACAUCUGAGCAAGCUGUAUAUACUUAGUAUAUAGUGUAGCUAGUUCUACACAAGUGCCUGUAAGCGAUUACUGCUUGUGUCAGGUGUCAUGAACUUCCGGAUAUAACAGAUUAUAUAUAUACAACGGUAUGGAAGAUAAUCAGAAGUCCUAAUAAAGAUGCAAAACAGAGUAGCUAAUUUGCCCUAGAUUCUUUUUCCUGUUUUAUGCAUAUAUAUUCUCCAUAUAGCUCUUACUCUAUCACUUUCUGCAUCAUAUAUUACGCUCUCUGCUUCUGUACUUACUCCAGAGUCAUGCGUGAUACGACAUCAAAUGUAGUCAGACCAGCCUGGUCAAAAUUCUCCUUGUAACGACCCAUCUUGAUGGCAUCCAACCACUCGUGUGCAUUGCUGAGUGAAGGAAAAUCUGGAGGGGAGUUGCUCAGGAGAGGCUGAGAUGGUCUGCAAAAGAGUCAGCUUCUAAAAUUUCCUGUUAUCAACAUCAGGUGACCAUGAUAAGGUCAGAGUUACAAGAGAGAGAGAACAGCACAGACAAAACAAUUAUGUUUGUUCUUCAUGCUCUGGUUCACAAAGCCCCACCUUGAUGUCUUUUUCUAGAUUAUGUCUUCCCUCUUCUGCCUAAAAACCAUCCAUCCAGCCUAAGCUGUUAAUCUUUCCUUCCCAUUUUAUACUCUCUCAGGAAUGAUCUCCUUUCUUAUCCACGAUCUUUCUACUGUCUGGGUCUAAACCCAUCAUCUGAGCUAAAAGCUGCAGUUUCCAAGGCACAGAGAUGAGACCUUGUACCUUUUUACCUUUAUGAAUAGCUCCACUUCUCAAGGAUAUGUUUUGUUAUUUUGUUUUUUUUGGGGGGGGAUCACAAAGGAACCUGUAUGACACUGUGUCAUUUGGGUUUCAACACACAUCAGACAGAAGAAAG